GGCCCGCAAGCACCGCGCGCAGUCCCGGUUCCUGCCCGCGCCUCUCCCUCCACACCUCCUUGCAAGCUGAGGGAGCCGGCUCUGGCCUUGGCCAGCCCAGAAAGGGGCUGCCAUAGUGCAGCGGAGGGCUGAAGGGCUCCUCAAGUGCCGUCAAAGUGGGAGCCCAGUCAGAGGAGGUGCCGAAAGCGAGCGAGGGCUGUGAGGACUGCCAGCACAGUGUCACCUCUCACUCUCUCUCAGUGCUGUGAGAGUAUGGGUUCCUCUCCCACUUGAGUGCUGGCUACAGAACUUGGCUUCGCACUGCUGGGCUGUGCACCACGGCCCUAAGCUGGAGGGCAGUAAGGGCAGUACCGCUGCAGCCGCAAUGAGAGAGGGGCUGUGCGUUGUCUACAGAAUUCCCUCCCCAGAGAAACUCAGAGCUGCCACCUACUGAAAUGUUCAGGGUCAUCAUGUCAUAGAUGGAAGAAGGUCAAGAUUGAUGAAUAUCAUGCUUCUUCAAACUUCCUUAACCGUAAGGAUUUUAUCUCCUUCUAACCAGAGAUCAUUAUAACAUCCACUUCAGCUCUAUGGGUCUUAUAGUUAAAAAAAAAAAUCCUCCAGGUUUCUGAAGUGAAUAUUUUGCUUUAAUUGUAUCACAGUAGUUCCUCCUUAUCUUUGUUGCUUCAAUUGUAUUAGAGUAGUUCCUCUUUAUCUUUGGGGGAAUAUGUUCAGUGACCCUCAGUGGAUGCCUGAAA
rnacentral:lncRNA from 10 species